rnacentral:rRNA from 1 species
ACGAACGCUGGCGGCGUGCCUAACACAUGCAAGUCGAGCGGAGACAGUGAGUAGCUUGCUACGAACUGUUUUAGCGGCGGACGGGUGAGUAACGCGUGAGCAACCUUUCCCAGACAGGGGAAUAACACACCGAAAGGUGUACUAAUACCGCAUAAGACCACGGAAUCACAUGGUUCUGGGGUAAAAGAUUUAUCGGUUUGGGGUGGGCUCGCGUCCGAUUAGGUAGUUGGUGAGGUAACGGCCCACCAAGCCGACGAUCGGUAGCCGACCUGAGAGGGUGAUCGGCCACAUUGGGACUGAGACACGGCCCAAACUCCUACGGGAGGCAGCAGUGGGGAAUAUUGGGCAAUGGGGGAAACCCUGACCCAGCAACGCCGCGUGGAGGAAGAAGGUUUUCGGAUCGUAAACUCCUGUCCUUGGAGACGAGUAGAAGACGGUAUCCAAGGAGGAAGCCCCGGCUAACUACGUGCCAGCAGCCGCGGUAAUACGUAGGGGGCAAGCGUUGUCCGGAAUAAUUGGGCGUAAAGGGCGCGUAGGCGGCUCGGUAAGUCUGGAGUGAAAGUCCUGCUUUUAAGGUGGGAAUUGCUUUGGAUACUGUCGGGCUUGAGUGCAGGAGAGGUUAGUGGAAUUCCCAGUGUAGCGGUGAAAUGCGUAGAGAUUGGGAGGAACACCAGUGGCGAAGGCGACUAACUGGACUGUAACUGACGCUGAGGCGCGAAAGUGUGGGGAGCAAACAGGAUUAGAUACCCUGGUAGUCCACACUGUAAACGAUGAAUGCUAGGUGUAGGGGGUAUCGACCCCUUCUGUGCCGCAGUCAACACAAUAAGCAUUCCGCCUGGGGAGUACGGCCGCAAGGUUGAAACUCAAAGGAAUUGACGGGGGCCCGCACAAGCAGUGGAGUAUGUGGUUUAAUUCGACGCAACGCGAAGAACCUUACCAGGUCUUGACAUCCACUUAAACUUACAGAGAUGUAAGGUGUGCUUGCACAAAGUGAGACAGGUGGUGCAUGGUUGUCGUCAGCUCGUGUCGUGAGAUGUUGGGUUAAGUCCCGCAACGAGCGCAACCCUUGUCAUUAGUUGCCAUCAUUAAGUUGGGCACUCUAAUGAGACUGCCGGUGACAAACCGGAGGAAGGUGGGGAUGACGUCAAAUCAUCAUGCCCCUUAUGACCUGGGCUACACACGUGCUACAAUGGCCACGACAGAGAGAAGCGAAAUCGUAAGGUAGAGCGGAACUCAAAAAAGUGGUCCCAGUUCGGAUUGUGGGCUGCAACCCGCCCACAUGAAGUCGGAGUUGCUAGUAAUCGCGGAUCAGCAUGCCGCGGUGAAUACGUUCCCGGGCCUUGUACACACCGCCCGUCACACCAUGAGAGUCUGUAACACCCAAAGCCGGUGGGAUAACCUUUAUAGGAGUCAGCCGUCUAAGGUAGGACAGAUGAUUAGGGUG